rnacentral:rRNA from 1 species
GAUGAACGCUGGCGGCGUGCCUAAUACAUGCAAGUCGAGCGAACGGACGAGAAGCUUGCUUCUCUGAUGUUAGCGGCGGACGGGUGAGUAACACGUGGAUAACCUACCUAUAAGACUGGGAUAACUUCGGGAAACCGGAGCUAAUACCGGAUAAUAUUUUGAACCGCACGGUUCAAAAGUGAAAGACGGUCUUGCUGUCACUUAUAGAUGGAUCCGCGCUGCAUUAGCUAGUUGGUAAGGUAACGGCUUACCAAGGCAACGAUGCAUAGCCGACCUGAGAGGGUGAUCGGCCACACUGGAACUGAGACACGGUCCAGACUCCUACGGGAGGCAGCAGUAGGGAAUCUUCCGCAAUGGGCGAAAGCCUGACGGAGCAACGCCGCGUGAGUGAUGAAGGUCUUCGGAUCGUAAAACUCUGUUAUUAGGGAAGAACAUAUGUGUAAGUAACCGUGCACAUCUUGACGGUACCUAAUCAGAAAGCCACGGCUAACUACGUG